GUACACACCGCCCGUCGCUAGUACCGAUUGAAUGGCUUAGUGAGACCUCCGGAUUAGCGAUUCAUUGGUGGCAACACCAUAGAGUUGCCGAGAAGUUGGUCAAACUUGGUCAUUUAGAGGAACUAAAAGUCGUAACAAGGUAACCGUAGG
rnacentral:rRNA from 1 species